GAUGAACGCUGGCGGCGUGCCUAAUACAUGCAAGUCGAGCGAAUGGAUUAAGAGCUUGCUCUUAUGAAGUUAGCGGCGGACGGGUGAGUAACACGUGGGUAACCUGCCCAUAAGACUGGGAUAACUCCGGGAAACCGGGGCUAAUACCGGAUAACAUUUUGAACCGCAUGGUUCGAAAUUGAAAGGCGGCUUCGGCUGUCACUUAUGGAUGGACCCGCGUCGCAUUAGCUAGUUGGUGAGGUAACGGCUCACCAAGGCAACGAUGCGUAGCCGACCUGAGAGGGUGAUCGGCCACACUGGGAAGGAGACACGGCCCAGACUCCUACGGGAGGCAGCAGUAGGGAAUCUUCCGCAAUGGACGAAAGUCUGACGGAGCAACGCCGCGUGAGUGAUGAAGGCUUUCGGGUCGUAAAACUCUGUUGUUAGGGAAGAACAAGUGCUAGUUGAAUAAGCUGACACCUUGACGGUACCUAACCAGAAAGCCACGGCUAACUACGUGCCAGCCGCCGCGGUAA
rnacentral:rRNA from 1 species